rnacentral:tRNA from 1 species
CAAAUUUUAAUUUAAGUUAAAAUAUUUCUUUUACAUAGAAAAUAUAAAUAUUAUUUUAAAUUUGA